CGGACGGGUGAGUAACACGUGGGUAACCUACCUAUAAGACUGGGACAACUUCGGGAAACCGGAGCUAAUACCGGAUAAGAUAUCGAACCGCAUGGUUCGAUAGUGAAAGAUGAUUUUGCUAUCACUUAUAGAUGGACCCGCGCCGUAUUAGCUAGUUGGUGAGGUAACGGCUCACCAAGGCAACGAUACGUAGCCGACCUGAGAGGGUGAUCGGCCACACUGGAACUGAGACACGGUCCAGACUCCUACGGGAGGCAGCAGGC
rnacentral:rRNA from 1 species